CCUACGGGUGGCUGCAGUCAAGAAACUUCCACAAUGGACGAAAGUCUGAUGGAGCGACGCCGCGUGAUUGAUGAAGUCCCUCUGGGACGUAAAGAUCUUUUAUUAGGGAGGAAAUUUUUGACGUUACCUAAUGAAUAAGAGGCUCCUAAUCUCGUGCCAGCAGGAGCGGUAAUACGAGAGCCUCGAGCGUUAUCCGGAAUUAUUGGGCGUAAAGGGUGCGUAGGUUGCGCUAUUAGUCUUCUGUUAAAAACCCUGGCUUAACCAGGGAGUCGCAGAAGAUACGGCAGCGCUUGAAAGUGCGAGAGGCGUACGGAACUCAUGGUGUAGGAGUGAAAUCCGUUGAUAUCAUGGGGAACACCAAAAGCGAAGGCAGUACGCUGGCGCAUAUUUGACACUCAAGCACGAAAGCGUGGGUAGCGAAUGGGAUUAGAUACCCCGGU
rnacentral:rRNA from 1 species